AUGGCUGCUAGCACUAAGCUUGUAGCUCUUGGCUUUGUUGUCCUCGUGAGCAUUGGAUUCACCGAUGCUUCGAGGAUGCUGGCUAGUUCCUCUAGUGCUGGGGGUGGAGGCGGGGGAGGCGGAGGCGGUGGCAGCUCGUCGGGUGGGGUUGGGAGUGGAUGGGGUGAAGGGUCCGGAGGAGGCGGUGGCUUGGGAUAUGGUGGUGAGAGUGGUGGAGAUUCCAAUAAGAAUUACGUUGCCAAGGGAGCAGGUGGAGGAGGAGGAAACGGUGCUGGCGGUGGUUCUCAAGGCGGGGCCGGGUCUGGUUCCGGCUCUGGUGGUGGAAACGGUGUCGGUUCGAGUGGAUCGGCAUCAGCCCCUAGUGGCAAUGGGUACGCCAAUGCUGAUGGUCAGGGUGGGGGCGGUGGUGGAGGUGCUGGUGCAGAUGGGUCAAGCGGGUCUGGAGCCGGAGAUGGUGCCGGCGAAGGAUACGGUGAGAGUGGCAUAGCAACCGCACCAGCUCCUUCUGCUGGUGGUGCCAGCUACUCUGAUGCUGGAGGUAGUGGUACUGGCGGUGGUGGCGGUGAUGGAGGAAAUGGAGGUGGUAAUGGCGCUGGAGGUGGACAGGCGGCCAGCGAUGACACUUCCGGAGGCAAUGCCAGUGGAGGGGGUAGCGGCAACGGUGGUGGCCAAGGUGGAGGUGUAGCUCAAGGUCCAAGCAUGGGAGUUGGUUCUGGUUCUGGCUUUGGGGGCGGGCAUACUGGUAGCACUGGCUCCUUUGGUCAAGGUUAUGCCACCGGAUUCGGUGGUGGAAAGGGUGGGGGCACGGGCGGCAGCUACAACGGCGGGUCUGGCAAUGGUGGAGGUAGCGGAUCCGGAGGCGGCAAAGGCGGAUACCACUAA
rnacentral:rRNA from 1 species